rnacentral:rRNA from 1 species
CCGUAGGUGAACCUGCGGAGGGAUCAUUACUGAGUUAUCUAAACUCCCAACCCUUUGUGAACCUUACCGUCGUUGCCUCGGCGGGCUGUACUUACCCUGUAGCUACCCUGUAGCUACCCGGUAGGUGCGCUCCAAGCCCGCCGGUGGACCACUAAAUUCUAUUUUACUACUGUAUCUCUGAAUGCUUCAACUUAAUAAGUUAAAACUUUCAACAACGGAUCUCUUGGUUCUGGCAUCGAUGAAGAACGCAGCGAAAUGCGAUAAGUAAUGUGAAUUGCAGAAUUCAGUGAAUCAUCGAAUCUUUGAACGCACAUUGCGCCCAUUAGUAUUCUAGUGGGCAUGCCUAUUCGAGCGUCAUUUCAACCCUUAAGCCUAGUUGCUUAGUGUUGGGAAUCUGCCCUGUAUUUAUAGGGCAGUUCCUUAAAGUGAUCGGCGGAGUUAGGGCAUACUCUAAGCGUAGUAAUAUUCUUCUCGCUUCUGUAGUUGUCCUGGCGGCUUGCCGUUAAACCCCUAUAUUUCUAGUGGUUGACCUCGGAUUAGGUAGGAAUACCCGCUGAACUUAAGCAUAUCAAUAA